rnacentral:lncRNA from 1 species
UGGGUUGCAAAAUGUCUCGUCCUGGACAGGUACGUUUUAUUUUAAUUACGGUGUUAUUAUGAAAAUGAAAUAAUAAUCACUUGUGUCUAAAUGUAGUGAAGAUUUCCAUAAAUAAUUAGUUAUGCUGAUUAAUAUAAGCUCUGUUAUUUAUAAAUACAGUGGCUUAGGUUUCUACUUACAUCAAAAUCGAAAUUUAAAGCCAGUGAGGAACGGCAGUCAUAUGGGAUCGAACGAGCAGAGCCUCUUCUCUACUUUGCACUUUCAUCCGGAAGUCAUUCUGAUCCCGCGGUAAUUAAAAUUUUAAACUCCGUUUUUUUCUUUUCCUAACAUUAAAAAAGGAAAAAAAAUCGUCUACUGUGGACUACUUAUAUACAGUUUUGUGCAAUUUUUGUUCUCAGGUUCGGAUUUUCACACCAAAGAGGGUACUUCAAGAAUUAGAAGCAGCGAAAGAGGACUAUAUACGAGCAACUUUUGGUGUUCGAAAAGAUUAUAAGAUCCUUCUGCCGAAGAUUGUAGAAUCCUUUGCUAAAGAUUCGGGUUUAUGUAAUGCUGGUUUAUUCGAGAUGAUACAGAAAUCUCUACCCGAUUCGUUUAGGAAAAGCAUCAAGAAAUGCCAGCAGGCGAAGAACAAGAAAAACGUAGAGUGGGUCCCGCAUAAUUUUACCUUCAGGUAUCUUAUACUGAAGGAGCUGAAGUAAAUAUCACCACCUCUGCAAGCUUAGUAAAGCUCAUUGUGCUUUUGUUUUUUGCCUUUUUUUUGAAAUUUUUCUUUAGAUUAUUACAUUCUAAUUUUCUUUUUUGUGUAAAUUAAGACAAAUGAGUUUGCAUUUCAGGCUUUGUUGUAUAUAAUCAAAUUAAUCGAGCUCAAUUCGUGUUUAGUUUGAAUGUUUAUCAAAUCGAGCUUAUAUGCACAAUACGAAAGCUCGAUAAAAAAAAGUUGAUCAAAUAUGCGUCCGACUCGACUCGACUCGUUUACGCAUUUAAUUUCAGAUAAGCAAAACUGGCAACAAAUGCAUAGAACAAAUUAGAAAUGGGAAUUAGUUGCUCAGAUUAAUUAUUAUUAUUACAAAUGGUGGAUAAUAUAAAAAUUCUAGUAGGGUUUCUCUCCGACAACGUUUCCAGGGGGGUUAUAGAAGCAAAUAGUCAAACUGGAUUGGUCUUUGGGGCACGCCGCGGCGGCGCAGCCCAGCUCCGCCGACUUCUUCCACACAACCUGAGUGUAGACACCGCAGCGGUGGUCCGGCGCGCAGGAGUUGUUCUCGUAGGUGUAGAACUUCUUCUCGGCGACCCACGUCUCCACCGCCGCGCGCGGCGUCAUGGCGAAGCCGCCGGCCCAGAGCUGGUUGCCGCCGUACUUGCUGUUGGCCAGGUUCGCGAAGCUGCAGUUGUGUUUGUCCCUCUGCAGCCGCGCCGUUAAGCUGGCGGAUUUUGCCAGCGAUGGGCUCCACUGGAGUGGGCCCACCCCUACCUCGGCUCUUGCUUGGUUGUGUGCUUCCAGGUACUCCUGGGAGGCGUUGGAUGGUGGCGCCGCCGCUGGAGUGGAGCCGCCGCCUGCCGGCGCCGGUGACGCGGCUUGAGCUGAACAUUGACAUGUGACUAGCAGUACUAGAGCUGCAAAUGUCGACAACAUUUUUACCAUUUUUGUUUCCUUUUCUUCUGAUUAAUGUGUGCAAUUUGCAAAUCAUAUAUAUAUAUAAAUAUAUUUAUUUUAAUUUCAAAAUAUAAAAAUUAAUGAAAUAAUUAAAUAAGGGUAAAAGAAAGGAAGUCAAUAAUUGAAAGAAUGCACGUGAAUGUGGUGACUUUGUACGAGAGAAACGAUGAACAAUGUCUCUUGUUUGACUUUGGAACUGACCCCCAUCUUCACUGUUACACACGUGAUAUGAUUUUUUGGGGUAAAUUACAAAAGUGCCCUGAACUUCAAAUAAAUUACAAAACACACCCCCAUCUCUUAGGUGUGAUUUCUCAUGUGAUCUUUUUGAAUUCGUAGAAUAUUAUCCUAAAAUACCGAUUUUACCCCUACCAACGUAUAACAAAUUUAAGGUAGCCAUGUAUGCAUAUGUAUGCUACGAUGGUCCAUACUAACAAUCCAAAACAUGUAGUGUCGUUGCAAUGUAAUGUUGCAGAAUUGCAGAAGGUAUACAAAUGUCACCUACAUUUAAGAGACUAUUCUUAGGAGUAGAAUCGGCAUUUUUUGAGAAAUAUUUCCAAAAAUAAAAAAUGAAUUAAAGGGACAGUGUAGCAAUCCCAAAUGGUCACAAUUUCCAAAUAUUUUCAGUACCCUCCCUUCAAAUUCAGCCCUUCUUAGUUCGUGAAAUUAGGAGGCCCACUUUAAAUAAGGGCCUAAUGAAAUGGGCUUCUAGGCCCAUCAUUUUAAUUGGGCCAAGACACAACAAUUUUAAUUAUAUUUAAAAACCAGUUGGUCGGUAAUUACUUCCACAUAAUCUAUAUUUACGUAUUACGCCUCCACGGUGAUUACUUAACAAAUUUCGUAUAGAAAGAUUUGGUGGGUCAAUUUCCUUUUUCCUUGAAUUUGCAUUAUUAAUUUUUUUUAAUAAUAAUAAAAUAGAAAAAGAGUAAUGUAAGGAAAUAUUUGACUGAAUUGUCCUACGUACACAUGGAAUGUUUGUUAAUCGAUUGAUGUACAAUUAGUUGAUAUGUAAUAUCUAAGGACUGUAAUGCAUGUGACAUGCUUAAACUGAUAUUUUGCAUGUGUUGAUAUAAAAUUUUGGCACUUGGAAAUCACGACCAAAUUUGAAUUUUCCGGUUGCUUAGUUAUUUUAGGAUUUCAAACUACAUAGCUUAGUUAUGUGUUAUAAUCAUCAUAAUUAGUUGUCGAAAAAUAUCUUUUUUAAUUCGCACGAGUAGAUGUUUUUCGCUAUUUAUUAAAUACACAUGUAAAUAUUUUUUUUGUGAAAAUAAUAAUAAAUAAAUAAAUUAAAUAUCGGUGAAAAAGAUUUUAAAUAGCAAGUGGGAUUCUAAAAAGCUGAUACGCACUAUGGUUGGACGUACGUAGGGCCAUGCAUUGGUUAAAUCUUAGGAUUCUUUUAAUUUUGUAUUUUUAAAUAUUUAUGUGUCUGAGAAACGAAGAAUGAGUGGUAGACAGCAAAAGUAAGAGAAAUAUGUGCUCAUAAAACUUGGUGCCCUACUAAAAUAUCAACGUUUUUUCUCCUUAUAAUUAAUGAUUUUUUUUUAAAUGAAGAAAUCUGCAAAUGUAAUUACAGACUGGCUACGGGUGAUGUGAUAAAUGUCAUUUCAAUUUUAAUAAUACUGUUUCGAUUCCAAACGUUAUGCGAACGUUUUUCAAAUUUGAAUUUUGUGUAAAUUAGAAAACUGUUGAAAUCGUGUAUUGAUAAAAUUGAAACACAUUUAAUGUUUCAUAGCUUGUAAACAUGAUUCUCAUUUAAUAACUCAUGAAUUGCGUACGAUAGCGUGGUGUAAAUUAAAGGGUAAAUUACUAUCACUCCAUGAGAUAUGGUUAAAUUAUGAAAAUUCUCCUCUUGUUUGAGUAAUUACAACUACUCUCCUUAACUAUAAUGUUUUCUACACGUCCACUCUUGCGGUUUCAAAUUUAGUGGAAUCUUCGAGAUUAUAUGGAAUAUUGUCACUUUUGUGCCCGUUUUAUCCCAUUCAAACUCAACAUUUUGAAGCAAGAUGAUCAUAAUAUUUGUUUUUUGGCUUGUAUAUAUUAGAUUGUGGUGCAUCAAAAACUGUAUUUUUACACAAAACGAGUACAAACUAGUAGGAAUGGCCAUGGGGCGGGUACGCGGCGGGUAUCGCAAUACCCGCACCCGCCCCGUUUGGAAAAUCAAGCAACCCUCACCCGCCCCAUACCCGUUGCGGGUUGGAAUUGUAGAACUCGCCCCCGCCCCAUUUUGCACCUGCGGGUACCCACCCCGUUUGACGACCCGUUUUUUUCUCUUUUCCAUUUUGGCUUUUCCUUCUUACUUUAAAUAUAAAAAUCAAUUUUAGUUAUGUUCCUUAAAAAAAAUAGCCUUGUAUUUUUCCAUUGCAAAUAUAUGUACUUGCUAAUUACUAAAUACGAUUGAAAUAUAAAUACAAAUCAACAAUCAUUUUAUAAAAUAUAAUAUAAAUUAUAUUAAAUAUACAUAUAUAUAAGGGUAUUAUACGUAAAUAAAAAAUAUGGGUGGUAAACGAAGCGGGUACGGGUCGGGUACGGGAAAAUUUUUACUACAACCAUCUCGCCCCUUACCCGUUGCGGGUAUAAAUUGCAAAACCCUUACCCGCCCCAAUCUUUAACGGGGCGGGUAUUAACCGUCGAAAACGGGUCGGGGCGGGGCGUGUACCCGUCGGGUCAGGCAAUAUUGUCAUCCCUACAAACUAGAGCACAUUUCACGAAAUCAAGAUGAUUAUUUUGAAUUUGACACCAUGAGAAUAGAGUUGUAAGAAAAAAAUAAUAAUUGAGGGAGUAGAUGUAAUUAACCAAACAAGAGGAGUUUUUUUUGUAAAUUAAUCAUAACUCAGGAGGUGGUUGUAAUUUAUCUCAAUUAAAUCGUAUGUGCAAGUAGAUCUUCUGCGACAGACUCCACCUAACAAUUAGUGAUUAGAAAGAAAGUAAAUUUAGAUAUUGAUCAUCAUCAUUGGUUAUAAUGUGCCCACUAUUAUUGUAAAAUCAUUGUCAAAACAUAGCUUUAAUUUAGUUAAAUGACAAUAAAUCAUGGAUGAAAAAGUAAGCAUUUAAUAAAAGCAAUGGCUUUUUAGACUUUAUGGUGUUGCCCUAGUUUACAUUAGAUUAGAUAAUCAUGCACGCCACAAACAUGCCUCCAAUUAACAAGUUGUUUAAGCCAGUGGAAUGUAUUCACUUUUACUGUUCACACACCAAAACCAGAAAACAAAAUAAAAUUAAAAUUAAUUAUUAUUAUUAUAUAUUUCAGACAAUAAAUUAAUUUGCUGUUGUGUAAAAUAGUGUUACGUGGCUCCAGCUGUAAUGGAAUUAUUUUCUUCCAUUUUUGGCCUAUUCUCUCAACCAACUUCUUUUCCCGAGCAAUUCCCCAAUUACAUAAAUAUAUAAUCUUAAUUUUUUUAUUUAUUUCCGCGUUGAACAUUAAUUUCACCGGUCCAUCUAAUAACUGUAGCCCACAUAGAUAAAUGAUAAAUCAAUUGAAAUUGACCACCUUGUUUUGUCACAUUAAUAUUUAACUUUUUUGGGUUUCGGCUGUGAGUAAUUCUUGAUAAAAAAUAAAAAAUAAAAAAAAAUAAAAAAAAUAAAAAAAAUAAAAAAGAAAUCUUAAAUAAUAUAUGCAGAUUUGCAUGAGGAUUUGAUGACGUUGAUUCUGUUUUAAUCUUUUAUCAGUAGUUGACAUAAUAUUGUUUUUUUCCUUAUUGUCUGGGCAUUCAUUAAUGUCAAUAGCGUACGCACCAAACUACAAUUGAUAGCGAUCAUCAAAAUAUUUAACCCAUCUUAUCUUUAUUUUUAGUAUCAUAUAUUAAUAUUUGAUAUAUGCAUGCACCAUUCGCUGAUGACGUCAUAAAAACCCACCAUUAAUUUGGAUUAGUUAAUUAAUUAUGAUUAGAUGAUCCUUAACGCAUGAAUCAAGUCACGAUCAAACUGACGAGGUUCAUGAAUAUAUAUGCUGAGUGCAUACUUUAUUGCUAAUUAUUGUCAACUCCCACCGGAAACAAAAUUCCAUUUGGAUAAUUAAAAUUAAUAAUAAAAUAAUAUUAUAACAAAUGCCGAUUUAAAGCACCCACUAAUUCCUUUCCUUUUUUUCUUUUAUUUAUUUAUUUAUUUAUUAUUAAUUACCUCAAGUGAUUUUUUUGUUCAAAAAUUAAAAGAAAGAAAAAUAAAAAAAAAUGCAUCAUCUCAUUCUAAACUAUAUUUACAAAAUGAUGAAUUUAAUUUUUCGUUUUCCCAAAAACACCCCUACUCGGGUAUGGCAGUCAACCUCGCCGCAAUCUUCCCUCUCCGUGCGGCGGCGCCGCCGCCGCUGCUCCUCCUCCUAGAUCCAGCACUCCCACCUCCAGCGUCGCCGCCGCGGCCUGCGGCGGCGGCCCUUCGCGACUGCUUCAGAUCACUCUCGGCCGGAAACACGAGAAUAUUCCGGCGACAGCCGCAUUUCUCGCCGCAAUUACCACCGGCGCUCUUGGUCAAGGCGGAGCUGGCCUUGACGGCCAAUGCGGCCAUCUCCUCAGCCUGAAGCCGGUGCUUCAGCUGGCUCAACGGCAGCGCGAAGUAGAGCUGGCCAGGCUGAAGCUCCUCGUCGUUGCUCACCGCCGAAACGACGUCGCCGAAUUCCAUUUCGUCGGAGUUGCAUAUGAAACACGCCGGAUUCUUCUGCAAGACGUAGGAAACCUUAACCGGGUAAGGAAACUCCUGCAAUCUCCCAUCGUCGAGUAUCAAUUUAGCAGUCGCAACGGAAGUCGAAUCGCACGAACUGCAUAUACCCAUUUUUUUCCCUACAGUUCUCUUCUCUCUCUCUACUUUUCGGUUUUCCUUUUUGCGUCUAUGUUGAAUGAAUAUAAUGUAGAGAGAAAGAUGGGGAUGAAAGAGAGUAUAUAUACAGAUACAUACGGGGUUAUAUAGGGAAUUGAACCAGGAUGCCACGUCAGAUAAUGAAAAUUAAAAAAGAAAAGAAAGAAAGGCUAAAAAGGUAAAAGGCGUUUGAUGUACUUAGAUCAGUGGGCACGGAUGCCAGCCUGUAAAUUUGUGGGUGACAGCUUGUAAUGCCGGGAGUGGGUAAUACUAUUUAAUUGGGGUCAUUAGCAAUAAACCCCUCAUAUAGAUAAUAAAUGGUGAUAUGUCCACCCCUUAAAUCUUUCUUUGUGAUAAACCCCUAGAAUUUGUAUUUUCCAAUUCUACCCUUAUGUCAAUUAGCAUAAUUAGUCUCAAUUAUUCCUUUUUUCUCUCUUUCCAUAACAAUAAUUUAAUUCCUAAAAAUCUGCUUCCAAAUUCCUAAAAAUUUGCUAGCAAAUCAAAUAAAAAAAAAUUAUGUUUUUUAUUUUUUAUUAUUUUCGGAUUUUUUAACCAUUUUUUUUAAAUUAUAUUUUUUAUUAGAAAAAUUUUUAAAAAAUAAAAAAAAAAUUAUUAGAAAAUUGAUUAAACAAAAAAAAAAUAUAUAUAUUUAAACAAAAAAUUGAUUUUUUUUUCCUCGACAGAUUUACAACUCCGAUUAUAACUAUAGUUGAACAUGGCUAUUAUGUGACUACGCGAUGUAUAACAGUGUAAUUAACAUAUUGUAGAAGCAUAUUUAUUAAGAUAACAGUAAGAAUAUGACUAUUAUGUGAAUGUGACUGUGCUUUGUAAAACAUUAUAAUUAACAGACAGUAGAAGCAUGAUUCUUAACAAAAACAGCGAGAAUAUGACUAUUAUGUGAAUGUGACUGUGCUUUGUAAAAUAUUAUAAUUAACAGACAGUAGAAGUAUGAUUCUUAACAAAAACAACGAGAAUAUGACUAUUAUGUGACUACGGUUUGUAUAACAGUGACUGAACAUGACAGUGAUAAUAUGACUAUUAUGUGACUAGGUUCUGCGUAACGUGACUACAAGUAAUCAGCACUUGAAAAAACUUGCAAUAUUAAUACCAAAAUACAUUGCAAAAAGAAAAAAAAAUGACUAAAAAAAACAAUAAAUAACUAAUGUGAUCUUUCAACAAUGGCCAUCGAACAUGUUUUUUUUGUUGCGGUAUCCAACUCGGUUGCACCGACCGCCCUUAAUCUUCCGUUCGAUCUUGUGUAUUAAAUAUGACUACACUGUUAAAUGUUGAACAUAUGCAACACUACAAAAAAAAGGACAAAUGUAACUAAGUUGUUAAACAUGACUACUCUGUCAAAUAUGACUACUCUGUAAAAUACAUUGCACUACAACCGACUAAUCUCGUAAUUCAAUGAGUUUUCCAGAUCUAAACAUUCAGAAUAACACAAAAUUUAAUAAAAUCCAGAAUAAUUGAAAAUCAAUGUAUGCGUUCAUAACAAACAAAUAAUAGAAUUGAAAAUCAGAUCCAUAACAUACUCUAUUGCUAGUUCGACAAUUAAUUCGAGAAAAAUAAAAUAAAAAAUUACCAAUUAAUAUAGUAUAUAUUGGUAUUCAUCGUCGAGAGAAGGGAAAUCUCCAUGUAGAAAUCCGACGGAGGCGGCGACAAGGUGGGGAGGCGCCGCCGCCAGCUGUACCAAGCGUCGAUAUGGUGGUGCUCGACGAAGGGGGAAACGAUCUCCAAUAUCAGCGGAGGAGGGCCUCCUGCAACAGGAUUCGGCCGACGACGGCGAUUUACAGAUCUGAAAAAGAAGGAAAAAGGAAAAAAGAAAAAAAAGAACUGUGAACAGAGAGAAAGAACGAGAGAAUGAAAUAGAGAGAGAGAGAGAGAGAGAGCGAGAACUGAAGAAGAAGGAAAAGGAAAAAAAAAAAAAAAAGAACGAGAACGGAAAAGGAAAAAAAAAAAAAAAAAAAAGAACGAGAACGAGAACGGAGAGAAUGAAAGAGAGAGAAAUAAAAUUGUAUUAGGUUAAAAACCUAACACAUAUGGGCAUUUUAGUCUUAUCAUGGAUGGUAAGGGGGUCUCACUAAUUUAGAUUGGGAUAUGGGUUAUGGGAAAAGUCUUUAAAGUCAAUUGGGUUUAGUUCAAAAUAUUUUCUAAAUAAGGGGUGUAUUGCAUAUUUCCCCAUUUAAUUACCCCUUAUUCAUCAAUGAAAUUACAGUGGCAGACCUUUUUUUUUUUUUUUUUUUUUUGUCUUUUCCUUUGCCAUUUUCUCUGGUACACUAUAUAUAUGUUUUUUUAUGAUAAAUGCAUGUAUAGAAUUAUAUAUAGAUAGAUAACUUAAUAAGUGGGUGAAAUCUAUAAAUAGAAUGUGAAAGUGAUUUUGAGAUUUAAGUAUUGACACUUUCUUUUUCUAUUUUGGACUUUGUGGUUAAUAAUUUAUACAUUAAAAAACAAGUUUUUAAAAUUAUUUUGUAUUGUGUAUGAUCAUAUAUUGUAAAUUUUAAAUUGCAAUUAUUUUGUAUUAAACAAAACGAAAUGAAAUAAUAGCAGGUGAAAUUAAAGUUGGAAAUUAAAAAGGAGGAUAAGACGACGGUGGUCAAAUAAAUGGAUUGAUUCACGUCACGUGAGGUAAAUACAGUGGUGCUGCUGCUGCACCACCUAACAACCACCAUGUAUACCAGUUCUUUUUCUUUUUUCCUUCAAUUUAUAAAUUUAAUUUAAUUUAAUAUAAUUUUUUUUUGUUGAUAAUUAUUCAUCUUUAUAAAAUGAUUGAGAAGGAUGAAAUUAAAAUAGUACUUUCCACUAACAAAAUAUCCCAAUGGUGGGUACAUAAGAUAUUUUCUAAUUUUCAGAAUAUUUCGGAACCCUAUUUAAUUAAUAAAACCCCUAGUUAUAGGUCGAGUGGAAGGAUGAUUAAAUUGGCGGUUAAUUGGAUUUANNNNNNNNNNNNNNNNNNNNNNNNNNNNNNNNNNNNNNNNNNNNNNNNNNNNNNNNNNNNNNNNNNNNNNNNNNNNNNNNNNNNNNNNNNNNNNNNNNNNAACGGGUGGGCGGGCGGGCUGGACUUUAUAGUAAUUGGGUCGGGUCAGCGGCAAGCAAGUUGUGGGUCUUUUUUGGACCAGAAUUCCCAACAACCCGACAUCAAUUUUACUCUUAUGAUCUGUACUGUUGGCCUCUUAGGGUUUCGAUUAUUUUUAUUUUUAUUUUUUUAUUUUCAACUCAAUUUAGUAAUAAAAAAAUAAUUGAAUAAUAAUAAAUUGAAAAAUUUUACGGAUACGUGUAAUUUCUGUCACAUAAUCGGUGAUUAAGCUGUCAUCAUGUAAACGUUAAAAUAAAGCAAGUUGCGAUUUAAUUAAUGAAUUAAGACUAAAGUUUUGUUGUUUUUAUGUGUGGAAAAAAAUAUAUAUAUGUGUCAAUUUGAACGAAUCUUAAGACAUGAUUAGCUGUGAUGCUGCUGAGGGGAAUCUUCUUUGGACCAAAUACGCUUGGGGACAAAUGACAAUUAUAUUAAUUUACUUUUAAAUUAAUUAAAUUGAUUGCUUCUAAUCAUUUUUUGCAUGGCCAUCCUCCUCGAAGCUUCCUUAGCAUUAAGAUAAUAUUUUUAUAUUAGAUGAUGUAGAAUUAUGUGUGGACUCAUUAAUAUAUUUGAUAUGCAUAAUUGGGCCAACCCAAUGAGCCUAUAAAUUACUUACCUACUGGGCCACGAGCCCAAUAUCGAAGACCACUAUCACCGAGGCCCAAUCACCUUCAAGUAAGGUUUGGGCCCGACAAUCUCAACUAAGCUAUAAAUACACAUUUGAACUCAUUCCUUAAGGUACGUUCUAUUAACUGAGUAAUACUAUCAACUGUAUUCUCUGGACUAUUUCCACUAUCAGCACGUCUGACUUGAGCGUCGGAGGGGUUUCCGCCGGAUCAACCCCGGCUUAGUUUAUGUGUUCUAUGAUCGCAGGUACCUCAGGAUCAUCAAGUUGUCAAGCUACUGAUCUGCUUUGCUCUCCCAGUUCGUUUUCUACACCACCCUAGGUGAGCUACAUAUAUUAGCAUCAUCAAUACUAUUUGAUUAAAGGUUAAAUUACGGUCGGAACCCUCUCAUGUCUGGGUAAUUACAACCACCCAUUAACUUAUAAUUUUUAUAUACGUAUCUACCCUGAUCGUGUCAAAUUCAACGGAAUCUUCUAUAUUACGUGGAAUUUUCCUUUAGUUUGUAUCCGUUUUACUUCAUUCGAACUCUACAUUUUGAAACAAGAUGAUUAUACGAUGUGUCUAUUGACUUGUAUUGUGGUGCAUCAGAAACUGUAUUUUUGCACAAAAUGAGUAUAAAUUAGAGAACAUUCCACAUAAAAUCUAAAAGAUUGUGUUGAAUUUCAUACAACCCUUAGUUGAGGAAAGUGAUAAGUAAUCACUCAAAAAUGAGAUAUUUUUUCGUAAUUUAACCAUAUUUAUUAGUAUAAUUUACCCUUAAUUCAUUAAAUAAUAUUUUAUUUUUUUAAAUUUCCUGCAUCACUACAAUUAUUUAAAGGAUAACUAUUCUUCUGCCCUUUUAGAUCACGACGGGACUACAAAACUCUUAUGAAAUUUGCGAUAUACAAAUACAGAUCAAGAGGACAAGAUAUCUAUAUAUAUAUAACAAAUAUAUAUAUAUAUAUAUAUAUAUAUAUAUAUAUAUAUAUAUAUAUAUACACACAGAGUGGUGAGUGUGGUGCAUAAUUGGGUGCGUGCACGUGUGCUGAUUUGAGCUGUCAAAUUCAGAGAUCAGAGUUUUACACGACUGGUUCCGGUGCUGCUGCAUUUAUCAUCAUUUAUGUUUAAUUUGUGUUAUGAGUUGUGACAUUGAUUAAUUAAUAUUAUUUUAAUUUAUUUAUCUAUUAUGAUUUAUUAAUACCACAUAAAAGAAAAAUAAAAUGAACCACAAAAUAGUUUAAAUAGCGAAUUGUAAGGCGGUGGUGGUUCACAAAUAAAAUAAAAACCACCGUAUCCACUGACUAGAUUUUCUUUUUCAGCAGGGUCACCCACCGGCAAGACGGUGUCGUACUAUCAAUGCCUCUCUGUAUUAUUAUUAUUUAGGUUCUAUGUUUUUAAUAUUUUUGGAGUUGAUUUUUUCAUUAUUAAUUUUAAUAAUUAAUUAAUAUGAUGGAGACUAUAGAAUGGUGGAACUAUUAUUAUUAAAAUUAUAGUGGUGUGGAUCCAGUAACAAAGUAUUGUAGCCCAAUGACUACCAAUUGGGCUAGGCCUAAUUUGUAAUGCACUAAAACUAUUCAAUUAGAAGCAUUAUCCAGUUGAAUUAAAUUGAAGUGUAUUAUUUUAUUGAGUAAAUUACGACCAAACCCCUCAGGUUUUUGCUAUAAUAAUUUUAAGGUAUUAUUUUUUAACAUAUGAAAGAAUUGUUGAAGGAAAUUUAACACAUGAUAUUAAUUUUAAUUUUGAUUUGAUAAGCGGAGGCUUUCACGACUUCUUCAAUCCUACACCCGAUGAUAAACACUGAAGUGGGUCUUCUGUUGCAAUGUUUACCUCUAGAAAUUUUAGAAAAAUAAAUUAGAGUACACGUGGCAGCAGAAGACCCUCUCAGUGUUUAUCAUUGGACGUAGGGUCGAAGGAGCCAGUUUUCACCGUGGUUUUGUCAACCCUUCAAUGAUUAGUCAACUCUCUAAGAAUAGUAAAUGAGUCUUACCAAACUUAAUUUAAAGACAUAAUGACGUGGAUUUGAUUGUAUUUCGAAUAAAAAAAAUUAAAAUGUAAAAUGAGAAUGCAGAGCCUGAUGAAUCCACAACAUACUAUAAGCAGUGGUUUGCCUUCCUUUUAUUACAAAUUUCAUAUUAGAAAGAAAAAAACUGUACAGUUGCAAGACUACAAUGAACAGUAGUAUAACUGUGAAAAGGUCUGAACAACAAAAAUCAUCUUAAUUGGGUGAUGUAUUGGCAAUUCAAUUUCUCUACAAUAUAACAGCAGGGAACUGCACAGAGAAGAACUAGAGAGAAGGAAGAAGCCAAAGAUUGAAUAGCCACGAGGACAAUGACAAAAACCACGACAAGAAAGCCAUAGCAGCAGCGAGUUGAUACCUCGUGCAUAAUCUUACGCUGCAGAAUCCAUCAGAAGCAAGAAGAAGACUAGUCACACUUGCCGUUGAACUCGAUGCAGCUAGUGAAAGAAACGAGAGUACCUGCCGAUAAUAAGAUUGUUCGUUCCAUUUGUUAGAGAGUAUAUAUUAAAAGAAUGGAUAUUAAUUAUUAAAUGAAUUAUGAAUUAAGAGGUGCUCUUUUUUUUCGUUUCUUUUACCCAAUCUCCAAUGACAACGAUAGAAAUUAUCCCACGUUGACGAGCUGGGUUUUUAAUAAAAACGGAGAAUAUAUCCACCACUGCCAAAGUCAAACUCCAUGGAACUACCAAGCCCAUAACCGUUACCAAGAAGCUGCAAGUAGAAAACACAAAUGAUUAACAGAAUAUUAGGCGUCUUUAUUUUGUAUUGUAGUAGUUUCUUCAAGAAUGUUGCGAUGAAGUCGAACACCAAUCAAAUUUAGUAACUGGAAUAUGUAUUUAAAGAUAACCGAAAAAUCGAAAGCAUGAAUUAGACUACAACAGAUUGAGAAUUGCACUAGAUUUUUUACUAAUUAAAUGACUACUAGUUUAUGAAGAUCGAUGAACUUAGCAAAAUCUCCGAAUCACAAGCUCGUAUACAAAUGAUAUCGAGUUUAUUCCUACGCAGUCUUCUCUAGAACACUCGUUAAAGAAAUCAAUGGCAGAUAAUUCCCUGGCUAUUCGGCAAAAAUUAGAAAGCACACGAUGUAUUUGAUUCGUAUAGCAAAAACACGUAAUUUGCAGACAAGAACAUGCAUAAACACUGUGUGUGUGUGUGUGUGUGUGUGUGUUCUUGCAUAUGCUACUUCAUCAUCAACAAUACUGAAACUGAUUCCAGAAUCAGCUAACUUCAGAAACAACACAAAAAUUUCAAGUGUAUUACCAAUAAACUCCACCGACAAAAACCAAUAAACUAGAAAAUUUGAUGCCUAUUGCAUAUUCUUAUCACACAAUUAAUCCUGAAAAUUGAAAAAAAAAAUUAAAAAAAAAAAAUCAAACACUUAACUGAAUGAAAUUAAUCGAUAGAAAUAUAGAAGAGUCUAAAUCUUCGAAAAAUCAGAAAAUCAGUACCAAUAAUCAACACACAAAAAAGAAGAAGAUGAACAAAAAAAACAUGAAAACGGCGCGAAAAUUAGCGAUUACCACAAGGGGAAAAUGCUAAAAGAAAAAAAAAAAAAAAAAAAAAGAGUGAAGAAUUACCAGAAGGCGGUGUAGCUGUAGAAUUCAACAUCCAAACACAUGAAAAGCAAAGAAGCAACAGCGAAAAUCGCCUGCCCUAAUCUCAGAGCCAAGCUCGCACUUGUACCCAGAGUCCCCGGCAAUUCUUCCAUAUCAUCCACGCCUCUCGAUUAUCUCCAAUCUCCUCUAUAGAUACAAUUCCUGUACGCCUAUGGUGGCGAUCGUAUAACAGAUUCCUCAUAGCCAUUUAAUAAUUCUCUCUACCCCAGCCGCCCAUGCCACGUUUCUCAUCAAAAGAUUAAACAAGCCAAAAAAACAGGGGUUUGAUUGAAGAAAAGGGGGAAAUUAAAUAAGUGCAGUAAUUCUUCAGGGAUUUCGAAGGAGAAUUACGAGCAGGAAUUCACUCACUCCUUUUUUGCUGUGUGAAAAUGGAAAGUUUGAUUAUCGAAAUGGAAAGAUGAAACGGUGCAGAUUGGUUAUGGCGGAAAUGGCAGACUUUUGUUUUUCCCUUGGAAUUUAAUGCCUGAUAAUAACAAUUAAUUAAUUUAUUAAUUAAAUACUUUUCGUUUUGUUUUUUCGACAUUUGACAUUCGGAAAUAGUAUUUUAAUAAAGAUUAUUAUUAUUAUUAUUUAAUUGUUAAAUAAAGUAAAAAAUGGAAAAUUGACUGAACAAAAUAUCGAAGCAUAAUUAAAUGAUGGCGAAUCUCUUGAGAUCCUAUAUGGAGCGGUUGGAAUUUCAUGGGAGCACAUUUUUCAUCUCCACCGCACCUUUUUUAUUUUUUUAAUCUAAAUUAUUUAAUUGACAUUUAUUUUCAAUACAAAUAUUCUCUUGUAAUAAUUUUAAUUCAAAAAUAAAUUCCUUGAGUGGUGGCCCCCACUUUCAAAAGCAAAGGAUUGGUUGCUAGUCUUUAAAAAAGAAUUGCUUGGUUAAUAUUUGUUGCUAAUGUGGCUUAUAGUUUUCGAAUGAUCAAAUCAAUUAAAAUCAUGGGGAAGUAAUAUAUAAAUAUUUAAAUUAAUGUAACAAGUGUAAUGUGCGUGUCUAAUAUCAAUCCCUCUUCUUUGCUUCUCAAUGCCAUAUUUAUAUUUAUUUAUCUUAGUAUCGAGGUGGUAAGCUCCCUUUCUGUCUCUGGUUAUAUUCACUCGCGAGUUUGAUGUGACUACUUCGAACUGUCUAUAUGCUGAUGGCCAGUUGCCCGUUCUUUACGAGUUGAGUUAGUUCAAACGGGGAAGGGCUCGCAGAUGAUGUUGCUUCAUUUAAAGCGUCAAGUGAACCUUUUCUCUAGUCUAUGUCACUUUACUAUUUCGGUUUUUGGGCAAUCCAGCCCAUAUCAAAUCAAUUCAUUUUUUUACUAUAGUAACACAUAAUUCUAGAAUUUCAGUACAUUGCUUCUUUAAUAUUGUAGCAUUUACAUAACUAUUAAUAUAAUAAAGUGGUAACUUGUGUAAUUGAAUGGAACAAAUUAAGUAAAAAGAUGGUCAAAUAAUUGAAGAGGAAAGAAAAAAAGGAAAUGAAUGAAAAACAUUGUAAAGGUAAAUGCGACUUUGCAAAGUGUGGUGGGCAGUCUUUUUCAAAUUAGCAGGCGGCAAACUGCUUUUUACUCUAUGUUUAAUAUCAAUCCAUCUUCCUUGCUUCUCAAGGCCGUAUUUAUAUUUACUUUAGUAUCGGAGUGGUAAGCUCCCCUUCUGUCAUGAUCAUAUUCGCGCGCGAGUUUGAUGCGAUUAAUUUGAGUUGUUUGUAUGCUGAAGGCGAGUUGAGUUAGUUCAAAUGAGAAGAGCUCGCGGAUGUUAUUGUCCGGUCCAUGUUACAGAAUUUCUGUUUUUCUCUAGUCACAUCCUUCCUUUAUGGAAUACAAGUCGGCUCAUGUCGACUGGACCUCAACUGAGCUUUGCUAUAGGAUUUUAAUUAUUUGGGCUUAUGGGCAAUCCAACAAGUAUCAAAUCAAUUAAUUUAUUUUACUAUAAUAACACAUACUUCGAGAACUUUUACUGACUAUUAGUAUAAUAAAGUGGUAACUUAUGUAAGGCUGCGGCUAUAUGCAAUACUCAUUCUACUUGUGUAAGACCAAAUUAAAAAAAGAUUCCAAAAGAUUCUAUUUUAUUAAGAUGAAAUGACGAAUAUACUCAUAAGUUAAUUUGCCCUUUUUUUCUCAUACAAGACCAAAAAUAAUGAGGAAAAAAAAAACAAAAAAAAAACCAAAAAGAAAAAACUAAAAAAAUAAAAAUAAAAACAAAAAAACAAAAAAAGAAAACUUUGCGUGAAUUGAAACAACACCCUCCUUCAAACCCUACCGACCCACCUUCUUCGCCGCCCAAGCUCCGUCGCCUAAGCUCCGCCGGCCAAGCUCCACCACCGAUCGCCGUCGCCGCCAGCCCCGCCGCUCACAAUCAUGAGUGAUCCAAACCUGCCCAGCAACGCCGCCAAAAAGAGGAAAAACAAAUUAAAUUUGAAACUGGUAAAAAUCGACACCAAGGUGUCGAAAGGUUACGCUAUAAAUCGACACUUAAGCGUCGAAUUUUAUAAGCAUAAAUCGACAUUGACAUGUCGAAUUUAUAGCACAAAUUCGACAUGUCCAAAUGUCGAAUUUUAUAGCUCAAAAUCGACAUCUAGAUGUCGAUUUUUACCCAUAAAAUUCGACAUGUACAUGUUGAAUUCGUUUGUGCGGGAUUUUUUUUGGAAAAACGAUAUUUUAGCUAAAACACCCAUAAAUGCAUACCUGCUUGGGUUCUUCCACCGUAGAAUCUUCUAUUUUGAUGUCUUCUGACUCCAUACUUUCCAUCUUUGUAAGAUUUGUUGAGUUUUGAUGAUUUUGAAUGUUUAGGUUUUGUGGGUUUAUGGAAGAGGAAGGAGAAAGGUCUUGUGGUUUUUGGAAGAUGGAGAAGAUGAAAGUUGGUCUUGUGGUUUUGUGGUCUUGUGAUAGGGUUUUUUGUGUUUUUGAAUUUUGGUCUUGCACAUUUUGAAUUUUUUAUUUUUUUAACAAGUAAGGGUAUUAUAGUAUUUAUACAUUGAAAAUUUUAAUUUGGUCUUGCACAAGUGGGUUUAGUCUUGCAUAUAGCCGCAGCCCUUAUGUAAUUGAAUGGAAAAAAUUAAGUAAAAAGAUGGUCAAAUAAUUGUAGAGGAAAAAAAAAAAAGGAAAUGAAAGAAAACGCAAAGAGGUAAAUGCGACUUUGCAAAGUGUGGUGGGCAGUCUUUGUCAAAUUAGCAGGCGGCAGCACCCACUCCGGCAAUUCUCCUCCACCAUUAAAUUAUUGAGCAAUCAAAUAAAUUACUCUAAAUCUCUUUCAUGGGGGCCAUCAAUUAUUUUUUCUUGUUUUCUUUAGACAAGUAGGUUUAUGACUUCGGUGCUGGUAAACUCUUAAUUGCCGACAGUUUGAUUCAUGACUCGAGUUCAACCCUUUGUUUUACUUUACACGAAAGGGGUCUUCUAAUUUUCUGGAAUCUUCGUUUUGCGAUUGAAUGCUGACAAUCAGAUGCUUUCAAAGGUACCCACGAAUCUCCCACCUCAUUUGAAUAUCAAUUUCAUCAAAAAGUAUUUGAAUUCGGGAGAUUUAGCACGCGCCCGCCAACUGUUUGAUGGAAUUUCCCACCCAGAUGUACAGUCAUGGACAUUGUUGAUUUCAGCUUAUACAAGGAGUGGUCGAUGUCGAGAAGCGAUAAAACUUUAUACGGAACUGAGAAACAGCAGAAAGAUUAAUCCGGAUAAGUUUGUCAUUUUAGCCGUUGCCAAGGCAUGUGCAGUUUCGGGGGAUUUAGUGAAGGCGAAAGAAGUUCAUUUCGAUGCUGUGAACUACAGGGUUAGUUCAGAUUUGCUGUUGGGAAAUGCUUUGAUUGACAUGUAUGGGAAAUGCAAGUAUUCUGAAGGUGCAGAAAGAGUCUUUGAUGAUUUAAAGAUGAAGGAUGUGAUUACUUGGACAUCGUUUUGCUCUUGUUACGUUAACUGCGGGCUUCCAAUAAAAGCUCUUCGGGUUUUCCGACAAAUGGGUCUGAGUGGAACUAGGCCUAACGCAAUGACAUUGUCUUCCAUACUUCCUGCUUGCUCGGAUUUGAAGUAUUUAAAUUUUGGGAGAGAGAUUCAUGGUUUUGGUAUCAAGAAUGGGAUGGGAGAUAAUGUGUUUGUGAAUAGUGCACUUGUGGAUAUGUAUUCUAGCUGUUCGAGCAUUAAGAAUGCUGAAUUAGUGUUUAAUAACACGCCGCAGCUUGAUGUUGUGUCAUGGAAUGUCAUUAUAUCAGCAUAUUUUUCGAACGGCGACUGCACAAAGGCACUUAACAAGUUCCUUCAGAUGAGAAGCCAAGGAGUCAAGUUAGACAUUGUUUCUUGGAAUUCUGUCAUUUCUGGGUGCGCUGAUAAUGGAAAAGCACAAGAAGUAAUAGAGUUACUUGGAGACAUGCAAAAACUAGGAUGCAAGCCCAAUCAAAUCACCAUUACAAGCCUGUUAACUGCUUGUACUAUGUUAGAAGUUUGGAAGGGAGGAAGGGAGAUUCAUGCGUAUAUUUUCAGACACUGUUUUAUGGAUGAUUUGGCAGCCAGUACUGCACUAAUGUUCAUAUAUGCCAAGAGUGGUGACUUAGAAAUGUCCAAACGACUAUUUUGUACGAUGCCGUUGAAGGACACUGUUGUAUGGAACACAAUUAUUCUUGCUAACUCGAUGCAUGGCCGAGGAGAGGAAGCUUUAUCGCUCUUCAAUGAAAUGGUGGGCUUAGGUGUGAAACCUAACUCCGUUACUUUUACAGGUGUUCUAUCCGGUUGUAGCCACUCACAGAUGGUGGAUGAGGGGCUCUCGAUUUUCCAUUCGAUGAGUAAGGAUCAUAAGGUUGAACCUGAUGUAGAGCAUUAUUCCUGCAUGGUUGAUGUUCUUAGCCGUGGCGGUCGUUUAGCAGAGGCAUAUGAAUUCAUCCAAGAAAUGCCCGUUGAACCAACUCCAAGUGCAUGGGGAGCUUUACUUGGAGGGUGUCGGAUAUAUAAGAAUGUGGAUCUAGGGCGAACUGCUGCAAACCGAUUAUUUGAAAUUGAGCCGAAUAAUCCUGGGAAUUAUGUUUUACUCUUCAACAUCCUUGUGAGUGCCAAACUGUGGGGAGAAGCUUCUGAAACGAGGAAGUUGAUGAGAGACAGAGGGAUUAGGAAAGUUCCUGGCUGCAGUUGGGUUCGAGUGAAGAAUCGAGUGUAUACGUUUGUUGUUGGUGAUAAGAGUAACGAUAAGAUCGAUGACAUCUAUAAAUUUUUGGAUGAAAUACGGUUGAAGAUGAAAUUAGCUGGUUAUUUUCCUGAUACCGAGUUUGUUCUACAAGAUUUGGAUGGGGAGGAGCAGGAAGAUAGUCUGUGCAAUCAUAGCGAGAAGCUGGCUGUUGCUUUUGGUAUACUCCAUUUGAAAGGCGAAUCUUCCGUUACAGUGUUUAAGAAUUUGAGGAUAUGCGGUGAUUGUCACAGCACUAUUAAGUUCAUAGCGAAGUUUGUAGGAGUGCAAGUGAUUGUUAGAGACUCUUUGAGGUUUCACCAUUUUACGGAUGGGAUAUGUUCAUGUGGUGAUUUUUGGUGACACCACACUUCGAAUUUGAUUAAGAUGAAGCAUACUAUUGGAGUUUUCUAGUGGAUCGAAUACUGUGAAACGCAACCAAAUUCUAUACAGUUUCGUCAAAGAGAAAAAACCAUGGACAAGAAAUACGUGGAAUAAAGAUCGUCAAAUCGCAAUAAACAAGAAGAUAUUCCCAUGAGAAGGUAUAACUAUUUACGCUCGAGAAUUUACUAUGUUAUCGUCGAUUUCUUCUGCUAUGUCCAAUUAUAAUCAUUCUGCAUAUAGUUGGUAAGUUCCAUUAAACAUGUUCGAGUUGCUUUCGUUAAUCAUCAUUUGAAGAACAUAUAUUGAUUGAAAGAAAAACCACACUAAUAUACAAAGCAUGAUAGUGAUCUCAGUUCUUCUCCAACACUAUAAAUGGAGUUUCAAUGAUCCCCUUUUUUUUUCCCAGUUACAGCAAAAACUCAAAAACCGAAGAAUCAUUACAACAAACAUCAAAUAACAGAGUCUACGAGUCGAGCUGUGCAUACCACACACCUUGAAUCUUCACAUCUUUGGGGGCCUUGGACCCCAAAUCAGUAUCAGAUGGCUGAAUGCUCUCGAACACUCCAAUAACCUCUCCAGUCUCGGGCUUGCUCUUGGUCACGCUCAAAGUGAUCUUCCCAGUCAAAGCAGCCACAUUCUUGUUGUUCUCCUUCUCAAGCUCCUCCUCAUCUCCCCUCCCGCCAGCUGGCAACGCAACAGCGUUGUCGUAACCAGUGGACCCACCUCUGCCCUUUGGGUCAAGGAAGGAAGAUCCUCUGUACGAGGGUACAAGGAACUCUCCGGUGAAGCUCUCGGGUUUGCCAGAUGCCACGAGCUGCUUGAUCGUGAAGAGGAACGGGACGCGCUCGCCUCCAGGGAGCUGCACCGUAACUGCUGCGUAGUCUAUUCCGUCCUUCUCCUCGAACUUGACUGUACCGUCCUGAGAUACCUCGAAGGGUCCCUCGAUUUCGUCCAGGGUGUAGGUCAAACGGGUCAUGAGCUUGGUCUUCUGGAACUCAGCUGGUGAGUUCUUGCUUACGCCUUCGGCCUUGACGGUGAAUGAGGUUGGCUCGAGGCAGAACUUCUUGGCGGUGUACUUGCCGGAUUUGAAGGCGAAGCUGUCGGAACCACCGUCUAGGGUGGGGCACUGGUUGGCUGUUCCGGUUCCCUUCACUUCCAUGUAGGUCUUGCUCUGGAUUUCGUCGAAGGUUAGCCUUUUCGGAACUCCUUCAGCACUUGCUCCCUACCCAAAACACAGGUGAAUCUUCAUUCAAUUCGUGAUAUAUAUACAUUUAUUAUCAUUUCUCUACAAUAUGAUUAUGAUUUAUGACUAAUCUCUAGUUAAUUUAAGUUGCAGCUAUUUGAAUUUGAAGCUAUUAAAUGAACAUGAAAGAAUAUUGGAGAUACCGAGGCAACGAGUGCAGAAGUGGCGAGAGCGAAGCCGGCAAUCUUGGCGGCAUCGGUGCAUUUCUGGGCCAAGUCUUUGAGAUCGGACUGAAGAGAGCAGGUGAGCCUUGAACCGGCCGGUUCGAAGCCGAAUGACCUGCUGACGUUUUGAGCUGAUCGGAGCUGUAGGCUGCUUCUGGCUGAGACGCCGACUUUCGUCGGCUGCAUGAGGGUGGCAGCCGCCUGUAGUGAGGUUGCCAUUUUUAUGUUCUCUCUCUCUUUUUUUACUCUUUUGUUUCUUCUUAUUACAAAGUGGGAAGUGUGGUCUGAAGGAGGGCAGAUUAUGUU